UACUCCUUCAUUUACCUCAUUUGGACAAUACUUUAACAAUCUUGGUGGAUCUGGAGGUAAUUUACCCGAAUAUUAAAUCACAGUUAUCUAUAAUUUAAAUUUUAUGUUAUGUUGCUUAUUUUCUAUUUAGUAUUUGUUUUCUUUGGCUAAUUUUUUAGAAUUAUUUUUUAAUUUUAAUGCUUCUUUUCUUUGGCUAAUAGUAAUAAGUUUCAAACGUUUUUACAUUGAAGAGAAUUAUGCGAUGUUUGCAUAACUAAAUUAAAUAAAUAGUUACAAAAUAAAUGAUUAAAAACUAAAAGGGCUAAAGUAUAAAUAAAAAUGUUUCACUCUAUAAGAGUAUCUCCAAUAGUGCAUCAAAAUGAGGAAAAACAUCAAAAAAUGAGGGAAAUCCAUCUCCAAUUGUACUUUAUUUUGAGAAAAAAAUGAGGAUAUGAACAGUAUUCCCUCAAAUUUGAGGGAACACUAUUCACAACCUCAUUUUGAUGUCAAACUUUUUUUAUUUACAUAAUGGUCCUUUACUUUUUGACAAUCUUUAUUUUAUGUAUAAACAAAGCAUUACCACUAAACAUAACUUUUAUAACUUUAUAUCCAAUAUGUAUAUACUGAUUAAACUUGUUAAAAUAUAAUUACCAAUAAUUAGUUAUUAAAAUAUAAUUUAUAAUUUAUAAUUUUAUAAAUUAUAAUAUAUAAUUAAAAGAAAAUACGAUAGAAAACACUUCUCUCUUCGAAAUGUGUUGAUUGAUCAUCUGUUGAAAAAAAUAUAGUGAUAGUACUGUUUAAGUAAAAUUCUACUAUUACUUUGUAUGUUGUUAUGUAUUUUUAUUAAUGUAAUAAAUAUUUGCUUUUUAUAAGUUAAAGUUUGGUUAAAUAGUAGAAUUUAAAAACAAGUGAGUAUAAUCUAAAAUUUUAUAAAAUAAAAGGUGUUAUUUGUAAUAAAUAAGAAGUUGAAAAAUGAAUAUAAUAAGAAUUAAGGGAGAAAAUGAAGGGAACCAUUGGAGCAAAUCACAAACUCAUUUUGAGGAAAAAAAUGAAGGAAACCAUUGGAGAUGAUCUACUAGAGUAAGAAAUAAAGCUACUCCAAAUAUAGAGUAAAAAAUAAAGUUACACUAUUUUAGAGUGGGAUAUAGAGUGAAGUUGGCAAAGAUUUUACUUUAUAAUAGAGUUUGGUAUACGAAUAGAAUGAGGUUGGAGAUGCCCUUAAAUACCAAACUACAUAGCUGCCAAGUUGCUUUGUCGACCUGCCGACUUGGAGAGUUGACGAUCUAAUGACCUUGAAACCUGACUACCUGGAGACCUGACGAUCUGGAGACCUGACGACAUGCCGACCUGAAGACCUAAUCGCCUAUCUGAAGAAGAGAACUCUCUUAUAGCUUCCUAUCUAAAAAACAAACCAAUAUGACUACCUUAGCUAGGAGCUCUCUCGAGCAAUCACACCUCAUACUUCACAUACAAGAUAUUUCCUAACAACUAUGUUUGACUUGAUCCCGAUAAAAAUACAUAUACAUUUUUUUCUAAAGACACAACUCAUAAUAUGUUUAACUUCAUCAGUGACCAGUUCUUGGAAAUUUGCUCAUUGGACAAAAAUUGAGAACAUUUUAUCUCGAAGACAACACAGUUAAUAUGACAUAGAGUUUAAAGGACCUUUCAUAAGUAUGGAGCAAUGAAUGCGGAAUGGAGCUCAAGGAAAGCUUUCUUACCGCAAAAUCAAUCAAAACUCUAAUCCUAUUUUCUGAAUGGAUUUUAGGAUCAAUCACCAACAUUGAUUUUUUUUUUGACGGCCAUCACGGACAUUGAUUAAAUGGUGAAAAACAUAAUAUCCUGUUUGUUUCAUACAAAAUGCAAUUACUGCUACUGCCUUGUUGGUUUCAUAUAAACAACGAAUAAAGUAUUCAUGACACCUACAUAUUACCAUAAAUAUGUAACAUAAACUUUGCGUCUGUAAAAAGAUGUUGCUAUCAAUAAUUCAAGAAGAUGACAAAAAUAUGAAAAGUUGUUUUCACACUAUAUUUUAGAAAAUUUGAUAACGAUAUUUUAAUCUUUUUAUGUAAGAACGCGUAUAUAUAACACAUAUACAAAUUGUUUCUCUCUUGUUUAUUUAUUUAUUUGUAAAUCAGAACUCUAAAAAAUUAAUCAACUGAUGUUCUAACAAAUAGUAGUCUAUUGAGAAAAACUAUUUGUACUAUAUAACAUAAAAAAUCUUUUUAUUUAAGAUAAUGAUUUAGAUUCUAUUUGCUCGGCAAACAAUCUUACUUUAUCAUUUACUCUUUUUUUUAACGCUGAUUUAUUAUGAUCUUACAAUUAUGAUAUGAGAAAGAUUACAUAGACGAUUCGACAACAGAUAAUACUACAUGCUUUCUAAAGACCUACGUCUAACUGUAUCACCUGAACCGUCCUAUGAAGAUCCACGCCCUGCAAGAUUUACUUGCACCAUGUUGAAGAUCCCUUGUAAAUUUUUCUUCCGUAGUCUGCAUAAUUGUUUAAUAAAUCGCUCUCUCCGGGACUUGAAACCUGGAUUUCCUGUAAUCUGCAAUAAAUUGCAUAGUUUAGGAUUCGAACCCCAAACCUGGGUGUAGAAUCCUUUAAACCUUAACAACUAGGCUACGGUGCUUUCACAAUUUUAUCAUUUACUUGAUUUACUAAAAAUAACUGCGACCAAAACACAUAAGAAAAACAUGAAUCUGGUAGAGUGUUGAAGCUGAUUAAUGGACAUUUUGAGUAAUUGAUUUUCUUUAUAUAUAAUAUAUAAUUUAAUUUACGUCUUCUGUUGACAACAGAAAAUAAAAGAAAAAAAUAUCACACCAUAUGAUAAUUUCAUGCAUGUAAAUGUGUUGAAAAAUAAAAUUGAUAAAAAGAUUAAAAAGUAAAAAUGAUUCUUAAAUUACCAUAUCAUCGUUACAUUGAUUUAUAUAAUUCAACACUCUUUUUUAUAUCUUCUGAUACUCUACAUCAUCUUUUCUCUUCAACCUUUAAUACCCAUUUUAUAUUUUCUGAUACUUACAUUCCAUGGAUCAUCUGGUUCCUGUGGAAGGCGCGUAAUGCAAAGGUCUUUGAUAACAAGGAGAUCUCGCCAAUGGAAGUGAUACAAUCAGCGACGUCAGAGGCGGAGAGUUGGCGACUGGCGCAAAUCAACCCGGAAGUUACAGAGGAGAACACCAACACUCCUUUGCCGGAGCUACUGUAUAGACCGCCACAGAGACCGUUUUGUCGGUUUGACGCGUCAUGGAAAAGAGAUGAUACUCGACAUGAUGGCAGACUCGUGAUAGAGAAUGAGGAUGGGACUACAACUUUCGGUUCAUUUGCUAGUAACCGAUCGCUGUCUCCCCUACACGCAGAGUUCGGUACUCUGUUGUGGGCCAUGAAAUCCUCGUUAAUUCUCGGUCACGAAUCGAUGGCCUUUGAAUCAGAUUGCCUGCAACUGGUUAGGCUCAUUGAGGAAGAAGAAGAAUGGCCAAGUCUUAUGGCUGAGUUUGAUGAAUUCCUUACUCUUCGUUCUAAGUUUUUGUUAUGCUCCAUAUCUUUUGUCUCACAUUUAAAGAACGUCCGAGCUGAUCGCCUUGCGAAAGGGGCUCGGUCUCAAGGUUUUUGCUUUUCCCAUGUAAACUCUGAGGUCCCAGCUUGGCUAGUGCUAGACACCACUUGGUUGGAAUCAUCUUAAUAAAAGUAUGGAGCUUUCGAUGCCAAAAAAAAAAGAAGUUGUUUAAAAAUGCAAGAUCCUACUAGGGGCGACGCAAGUGUAUGUGUAUGGGUCAUGUGCAAAGCCGGUCCUGAGAUUAUUGGGACUAGAAGCAAAAUAAAAAAAAUUGGCCACUCCUACAAGUAACUUCAAGGAUUUGAACCCGAGCUGAACAAAGUGAGAUUAUGUUUCCGACAAAUGAACCACUAAGCUAGGGAAACUUUUAGAAAUUUUGUGGCCGGUUUUGUAUUUAUUUAGAGGCGGCUGGAAGCAUGGGCUUCAUCCGCUUGGUCGAAGGACCGGCUCUGGUCAUGUGCCCUCUACUAUAUUUUGUUUCUUCUUAAAUAAUUUAAUUUAAUUUGGUUAAAUUUCUUAUUUUAGAGAAGAAUAUGAAAAAGUGCCUCCUAUCCAAUCUGAUUUUAUCUGUCAUGCUUUUAAUAUUGUGUCUAGAUUCACCCAUGCACAUUACCCUACCAUUUUAAAUUUAUAUUUUAUCUUUUAUAGUUUAACGGCUGUAAAUUACUGAUAUUUUUUAUUGUAAUUAACUUAAAUAGCUAAAAUGACAUAGUUUUAAUAUUUUUAUUUUAUAUUAUAUUUAUAUUUUUAACUCAUUAAAAAUACUAAAAUUACUAAUAGAAAAAUAAAAUAUGUUUAUAUCUAAGUGAAAUGAGAUUGAUCUCUAUUUAUAGAUCAAACAAGUAACUAAUUUUGCUAUUUUUUCAAAAAGUUGUAAUAUUAAAUAAUUGAGUUUGAAUAAUAUGAGUGAGAAAAAAUCAUAAAAAAUUGGAUAACCAAUAAAUUGAACGGAUGAAUUUUAUUUGGGUCAUCCGUCUCUACAUGCAUACAGCAUUUUUCCCAGUUAAAACGCUAACACAUGGCAGUUUAGACUUGCUUUUCUCACUUGUUUUCAAAAAAAUUAACAUCUUCACUGCAUCACUUUCAACAUUUGAAGUAUUGAUUCAACUGCUGCGUUAUUAAUCUAAUGCGAAGGGUGAGUUUCCUUAUUGGUUUUGUAGCAAAUAAAAAUAUAUAUUGUGGAAUCAAUACACUUCCGUAAAUAGUUACAUAAACUUUCAGACUUUCAGUUCUAAAACAAAGUUUUGCUGUUAAUAGUUCAAAAAAUUGCUACGCAAUAUUAACAUGUUAUGCAUUAAGAAAAGUUGAUUUCACAUUACAUCUUAGGAAAAAUGGCAUAUAGCAAGCUUUUAGUUGAUUUCACAAUACAUCUUAGGAAAAAUGGCAUAAAGCAAGCUUUUUUCUUUAAAAAGGCAUAUAGUGAAUAAAAAUGAAUUUUGACGGAAGUUUUUACAAAUUUCUUAGAAUUCACUAAGUUUUAGGGGCCCAAGAAAGAAAAAAAUAUUUUGCCAGUUUCAUCACAUUUCACAUUUAUCAGAAAUCUACAUUAUAAUAAAGCAGUUGCAUCACUCCUGAUGCGACACGUCAGCGAUAUAUGGAUCCUACUUUUAAAAAGUGUGAAAAAGUGUCAAGUCUGUGAUUCGAACCCGGGUUUUUGAGAUCUAAACAACAACAUUUAUAACACUGAGCUAAAUGAUUCUUUGUACAUUGAUGGCUGAAACAAAUAUAUAUUUAUGAAGGUCGGAAACCUUUGUUUCUUCAGUUUUCUCUGUGGGACCCACACUUAUUUAUUUUAUCUAAUGAUUUAAUAAAUACUUUAUAACUCACGUUUUGAAAUGAGAUUCGUUAAAAAAAAGCCCAAUAAACCUCUUUGGUCUGUAAGUGUUCUCUUCAAUGGAAGUUUAGGGCUUUCAAUGUUUAAUCAUCGGUUCAUGACUCUUCUAAGAAACACAGAUUGGCUCUUUGAGUUUCAUGAAUCAGUUUUUCUUCUUUAGUCUCUACAUCUCCCCAUCUUUAAUAAAUUCAUCAUCGGUUCUUUUAUUUUGCCUGAUAAAUCAUGGUUGUGUGGUUUUAAUUUUCUUUGGUCAUCCUUAGCUUGCACCCUUUGAUCUAACCAAGAAAAAGAAGAAGACAUUUGUCGUUCAGGAUGCCAUCGAGGACUCAGCUGAGUCACACGGGAGACAUACUAUUUGUUGCCUGAUUGUUCAAGAAGAGUUUAUGUGCUGUGAAACAUAUUUGUUCUUUUCAUCAGUUGCUUUUUUUAAUCUUUUUUCCUGCAAAUAAUGAUGGUUUUGACAGUUUAUUCACGGGAGCCAAGAAGUAAAAGAAGAAGAAGCCAGUGAGUGUUUGACAUUUUCUGUCUUCCUGAGUUUUUUUUCCAUUCAUUAAACUUGGAUUUUGAAGAUUAUGUGCCUCACAUUCUUUUUAUUUUGAUGGUUGUUAGGUUGAAUCAAGAUCAUUGAAUAAAGAAAAUGUUGAUGUUCCUGAAGAUUUGGAGGGUACUUUAUAUUUCUUUCUCUGAUAAUUCUAACGACAUAAAUUUGAACCUUACAGAGGGUAUAUUGCAGAGCAUCCUAAUGAUGAGGAAGAGGUGGAGGGAAUUGAUCUGCACCAGCAACGUUACCCGUGGGAGGGAAGUGACAUGGAUUACUUAUACGACGAGCUUUAACAUGCCAAAAUCACAAUGCAGUGGGUGUUGUAAGGAACCGUUUGUAAAUAAAUGUCUCGGAUGUAUAUGACUGCUUAGUUUGUUGUUUUUGACAGUGAAAUCACUAAGCUUGCAAUGUGUCAGGACAGCAAAAGCAUCUCAGCUGAUGGUUAGCUUUACAAUUUUGUUGGUUUUUUUUCCUAUUAUGUUGGAUGGAUUAUUUUAGCUAACAAAUAUCGCAACAGAGCGCUGACAAUAACUCUAAUAGAUUUAUAUAUACAUUUAGAAUUAGAAGUUUGGUGAGAACAUGAACAAGUACUUCUGUCACGCUAUUGGACAGUUAUACGCCAUUUCAAGAGAAUUGAUUUCUUAUAUUUCCCAUAAUCAGUAAGAUUUUAACUGUUUUGUCUACUUUGCAUUCAUACCUUAUUCUCCAUCUAACUUCUCGGUGCUACUACAUAAUGAUCAAGUCAUUUUCUGCACAAAUAGGCAAGUGGGGAUGUUACGUUGGGUGCUUGGUUUAUUGGGUUUGGCUAUACCAAGUUUGUGACUCUAAAUUUUUUACCUCAUUUAACAUUGAU